rnacentral:other from 1 species
GACAGGAGGAAACGCGGCACCAGCAGCAUCUCAUCUACUCUCCUUGACACCCCCGCCCCGUGGCUCCAGCCAGACCCUAGAGCUCAGCCUUGCAGACCAACAGGAGGACUCCCAGCGUUCCCUUUUCAAGAGGUCCCCAGACCCCGGCUGCCCUCUUCCAGCGCCUGUGGCUAGCGCAGGGAGGCACCAGUGCUCUGAGGCUGUCGCGUGGUGCAGCGUCAAGCAUCCUUGCCGAGGUCCUUUCUGCUGCCUGUCCCGCCUCACCUGGCUCCAUCACACCAACUGGCCCUCUUUGCCUCCCUCUCCCAGAAUCUUUAAGCUCCGAAUCCCACCAGCGCCUCCUACCAACCUCGCCCCACCCCGUCCCCGUGCCUUCCCGCGCUCCGGUGACCCCCGCUGCCAUG